rnacentral:rRNA from 1 species
UGGGGAAUAUUGCACAAUGGGGGAAACCCUGAUGCAGCGACGCCGCGUGGAGGAAGAAGGCCUUCGGGUUGUAAACUCCUGUCGUAAGGGACGAUAGUGACGGUACCUUACAAGAAAGCCACGGCUAACUACGUGCCAGCAGCCGCGGUAAAACGUAGGUGGCAAGCGUUGUCCGGAAUUACUGGGUGUAAAGGGAGCGCAGGCGGGUCUGCAAGUUGGAAGUGAAACUCAUGGGCUCAACCCAUGAACUGCUUUCAAAACUGCGGAUCUUGAGUGGUGUAGAGGUAGGCGGAAUUCCCGGUGUAGCGGUGGAAUGCGUAGAUAUCGGGAGGAACACCAGUGGCGAAGGCGGCCUACUGGGCACUAACUGACGCUGAGGCUCGAAAGCAUGGGUAGCAAA